rnacentral:sRNA from 1 species
AAAUGUAUGACACACCCACCCUCUCGGUUCAUCCUGGACCCGAAGUGAUCUCGGGAGAGAAGGUGACCUUCUACUGCCGUCUAGACACUGCAACAAGCAUGUU